rnacentral:rRNA from 1 species
AGUGAACGCUGGCGGUAGGCCUAACACAUGCAAGUCGAACGGCCGCACAGUAAGAGCUUGCUCUUACGGUUGGCGAGUGGCGGACGGGUGAGGAAUACAUCGGAAUCUACUUUUUCGUGGGGGAUAACGUAGGGAAACUUACGCUAAUACCGCAUACGACCUACGGGUGAAAGCAGGGGAUCUUCGGACCUUGCGCGAUUGAAUGAGCCGAUGUCGGAUUAGCUAGUUGGCGGGGUAAAGGCCCACCAAGGCGACGAUCCGUAGCUGGUCUGAGAGGAUGAUCAGCCACACUGGAACUGAGACACGGUCCAGACUCCUACGGGAGGCAGCAGUGGGGAAUAUUGGACAAAGGGCGCAAGCCUGAUCCAGCCAUACCGCGUGAGUGAAGAAGGCCUUCGGGUUGUAAAGCCCUUUUGUUGGGAAAGAAAAGCAGCAGGUUAAUACCCCGCUGUUCUGACGGUACCCAAAGAAUAAGCACCGGCUAACUUCGUG